GACAUUUCAAGUUUAGGGUUGGGUUUCUCAUUUCUUUCUCUUCGAGUUUGAUUCCUUCUACAGCAGCUCCUCUCCUCCUUCUGUGACGACGAGACGAUGCCGGCGACCACAUCUCCUCUCCUCUCAAGUUUUCAUAGUUAUGAUUUCCCUUUCUCACUCUCAUCUGGAUCUCUAUGGCUGGCUUUCUCUCAACCUCUCUGUGGCUGGCUUUCUCUCAACCUCUCUGUGGCAGGACUUCCCAACCCAUUGAACAUGAAACUUCACUGCAAUCAAUGGUACCAUGCAUAUGAAGAGUCCUAAUUUACACGACUUCUAUAUCUUCUACAUGGGAAAGGGACUUACUCUUCUUCUUGUGCUUCUUAAUUUCAAAUUGGUUUUGAUUAUGUUUUUCA